rnacentral:lncRNA from 1 species
GCAGGGCAGACAGUUCUGAUGAACGCUAACCAGUAGACGGUAACCACAGUGAUUGGCAGAGCUUGGACGCCAAGUCUAACCUGCUCUGAGCUGAUGUGCACUGUUGGCUCCUGUUGUGCUGCACAGGCCUCCGUACAAACGGAACUCAAGGGUUAGUCUUUGUGACUCGUGAGGUGACUACACUAACACCUGGUGUUGAUAAGAUGGCAUGAAAACAGCCAGCUCUGGAAGUCGUGCGGAGUGAUGGCUCAGAAGUGAAUAGUGCUUGCUGCUCUUUCCAAGGACCCGAGAUGGGUUACCAGCACCCAUGUUCUCCAGAUCACAGUCUUCGCUAACUCCAGCUCCAGGGCUUCUAACCCCCUCUUCUGGCCUCCAUGGUACCUUUACUCAUGUGCCUGACAUCCUCCCACACAUACUUAAUGAAAAAUUAGAAUUAAAUCUUUAAUAAUAAUAAUAAAGAGUCCCGGAAGAGUUUCACAUUCUUUUCAGUGCUACUUAUUAUAUUCUGAAGAAUUAUUUGGGGGGCUUAAUUAAAAUAACAAUGUGAGGCAGAAUCAUAACACUUUCAAAAUAUUUAUACUGAAUACGUAUCUUUUUUUAACUUAGGAAUGUGUGUGUAUCUCUCAUGUGUAUUUAG